rnacentral:lncRNA from 1 species
GGAGGCAGAUGUUAAGAUCCCUCUCUUCACCUUUACAGAUAAAGCCAAGCCCGGGUCAAUGUAAGUCUCUUCCAUAUCUCUCUUGAUUCUGAAAUUCUUCAUCCGUGAUUCCUUAAACCUGGGAAAACAUUACCUCUUCCUGCAGCCGGUAGACUAAGGCCGGUACAGUAACUGGUGGAGCAGCUGCUCGUCUGUAAUUUCAAAGACCAUUUAUCUCCACAGACUUGAAUGAUGAUCAUCUCUGAUACAGAAGAGUUACUUCACAAUAUACUCUACGCUCCUAUGCCUUCAUGUGUAGCAUUUCCUCAGUAACAUACUUUGAGACUUUAAUCAGUAAAAUGAAUUUC